rnacentral:lncRNA from 1 species
UGUCAAGAGAAAAGGAGGGCGUGUGACAUGUUGCUUGUAUACACCAAAGUGGCUGACCUGAAACCUUGAUCAUGUUUAUUUUUGUGAUGUUGGAUUGAUAAAGGUUUAUCAGCCAUGCUACAGUCUGUGAAACAUGCAAGGGAUUUGCAAGAGCUCACUGGGAAAUGAGCCAGUUCUAUUUUGUCUUUUGUUGUUUCGCUAGAGAUGCAGAAGGUCAUUCAUAAUGAGCAGUGCCGUGGUAGGAAAACCAGCCAUCGUAGUGAAUAGCCCUGCCCCAGACCGUGAUGUUGAAGCAGGUGAGCUAUGAGAAAGGAGGCUAAUGGGUGCUUGGCCAGCAGGUCAUCCGCCAAAGGGAAAUGAAGAAUUGCAGUAGUUAUCUCGAUACUUCUGGAAAAACAGGAACCCUCUCAAUUUGCUCCCUAAUUGUGUAGGUUAUCGAUGUCAUUUUGGAUGUAUGGCAUUCACCUACUCAAACAUUGUAAGCCAGUCUAUUGCUGGAAGACCUCAGGAAAGAAGGAAGCCAGGUGACUCCCUAGAUUAGAUUUAAAUGCCAUUUGCCAGGUUUUUACUAUUAUUUUCAAAAGGAAAAAAAUUACUAGUAUGGCCCCUCUAGAAGUGAUUAUCAAUGUUUUGCCUAAUCUAGUUUAUUAUAAAAGUGGAGAGUAAGGAUUUUUUCUAUAAACAUAGCAAAAUUUAUUUAAAUACUUGAGUAAGGUCUAAGCACCCAGAAUGUAACUUUUCUGAAGGAAUCAUAUUCACAUACACAUAGAAAAAAUAGCAUUAAUUGUUUAAGAGUGUAGGAUAUGGAGGCAGUCAGGGUUCAAAUCAUAGCUUCACCAACUACUAGUCACAUUGCUUUGAGUAAGUCACUUGACAUCUCUAUGCCUCAGUUUCUUCACCUGUAAAAUGGCAUAAUGACAACACCAGCAUGAUAGGUAUGUUAUGAAAAUUAAUGGUUUUAUAUACAAAAGAAUUUAAAAUAGUGCCUUGCCUUUAGUGUGUACUCAGUAAAUAUCAGCUAAUUUAUGGUUUAUACAUCUGUGCACACCUGUGUGUUCACAAAGAAGUAUGACAAUUAAUUGAAAGUGUUUCAAAUCACAUUUGCUCAAUUAUGAAUAAGUGGAAAGAAAAUUUUAUACAAAUAAGAGUCCAUCAGGCAUCAUUUUUGAAGAACACAAAAAUGAGUAUUAAAUGCAGUUAGAUAAGAGCUUUUCUUAUAUUCUCCUUUGCUUAAAUCCAUUCUGCUUUCAUUUAUUGUAAUGUGUUAAGAGACUAUAUGGUCUUUCUAAAGUAGUUUUUCCCAUGCCAGAGAAAUAAAUUCUUGGUAGACCAUUUUUUUACAUCCUGAUGUGACAAUUUCUAUUACAUUUGGGGUAGGGAGACAUCCUCCAUGUUUCUGGGACUUAAAGUGUGAGGACUGGCACCUACAUUAGAAAGAAUGGGAAAGAAUCAGAAACUUGGCUUUGCUGUGACUGUUCGUUUAUUUAGCAUUUAUUCUGUAGGCAGAAUCGGAGGCUUUGCUACAACUCCACACUGUGAUUUUCAUGGGUAGAAUACUAAUAACCAACCUUUUAUAUGCAUUCAUUCAUGUCGAUUUCCUUAUACUUCAUUAGGAAUCCGCCACCCAAACCCCUGACCCAUUUUCCCAUUCCCAUCAGGCAGAUCUACUUCUGAGUCAUCAAAGACUUCAAGUCUGUCACCCCACGUGUUAGUUGAUAUUUUAUAUCCUAAAUGGCCCUGUCUCCUCUUUCUUGAUUGGCUCAGAUAUUGUUUCUGGUUCAAAAAUCCAUAGUCUCCUCUUGGGGCAUAAGGCCUGAAUAUUUUCUGGUAUUGCAUUGCUUUCAUAACAAUGACUUUCCAAUUUAAGCCUUGAAUAGUGUAGCCAUCAAGAGAAAAAUCCAUCAUUCUUGGUCCAAAUAACCUCCAGCAUCUAUGAGAUGGCCCUAAACAUUGGUUAGGGCUCAUAUUCAUGUGCUAUUUGUCACAGGUUUUGCAUUUAAAAACGUUACAUAUCAAAACAACAUUACAAAUUGAGCUAAGGUUUAAACUGUCCCUAAGGUGUAAAAUGAAUGAACACACAGGGAGGAAGUUUGGACUUUGAUAGACAUUUGGAGAAUUAUUUAUUCAAUUUCCCCCUCUCAGAGAGUCAGGGAUCUCAUUUGCAUAUCCAUGCGCACUGAAGAGCACCCAGUAAUGAAACAGAUUUAACCUUAUUUAACCUAAUAUUUCUCUAACUUAUUUUUUAACCAUAGGAGGCCUUGUUUUUCUCAGAUCUCACAUUAACCUGUCUCCAAACAAAUGAUCUCCAAACACUUUGAGAAAACAGAAUUAAAGAGUUGGCUAUUUCCUUGUGACUGUCACCUAUGAUUAAUCCUGGUAAAGAUUUAAUUCACCUUUUAAUAUGAUUCUAAUUGUGGGAAAUAUCCUGUAAUCUUGCAUUUCUUACUCACUGUCCCUACCUUAUUCACUGAAUUCCAAACCACUCUUCAAAAGGCAGCUUAAGUAUCAUCUUUUUCUUGAAACUUUUUCUGAUCCUCACCCUGCAUGCCCAAAUAAGAAAUUUUCUGCAGUCUCCUUUCACAUCCUGACUUUUAUCAUAAGUUUGUAUAAACCUGUAUGUUAUUAUAAGUCAGAAACCUUACAAAAUUCCUUUUUAGGCUUUGCAUAGACCUACUUAAUAGGAACUUCAUAAAUAUUUUUGGCUAGAUUGUGAAGCAUCAGUAUUUAUAAGCCUUCCAAAGAUUCAUUUGCUAGAAAUGAUUUUUUAAAGCCAGAUCUUAUUUGCCAUCCAUAAUAUCCAAAGAUAAAGCGUGAUGUUAAUUAUUUCCUCCAUGAGGUCAAGCCUUCCAGAAGGGUGGCAAAUCCUUGGGCAUACAAUUAUAGUGGAGUCACUCUUCCAUGGCUAAUUACUUAUUAGCCAUUUCAUUGCUAAUUUGAUUAAUAACAUUAAUAUAAACCUUUAUGUUGAUUUUGUAAAAUACAUUACAAGGUAGGUCAAUAUCUUGGCCCUCAUUAUCUGGAUGGGGAAAGGAAACAUAAAAAGUUGAUCUGAUUGAUUACCUCAAGGUUAUUCUUUAUGGUUAUGAUAGAACAGAAUAAAAACUCAUCCUAGUCCAAUUCUAAGACACUAAACAAACUUCUAGCUCUAUUCGAGGAUGAAGAAAAUCCAUGUUUUUGCUAAAUAUGCAACUUAGUGUAGAUUCAGAAAGUAUGCACAACCAACAGCAUUUUUUAGCAGCAGUUAUUUCAAGAUGGUGGACUGACCCAGAAAGGGAAUUUGAUUUGCUGUCAUAUGUAUGUGGGAAAUGCUGGAAAACUCAAGUAGAUAUUUCUAUCAAGGUUAGAUUUAUUUUUAAUCAAAGUUUUAAGAUCACUUAGUGUACUAAUAGGCAUUGUGAAUUUUCAAGAUGGCACCAUGGUAUGGAGUCUCUCCAGAUUUCCUAGUCUGUGAAGCAUACCGUAUGAAAUACUGCUAUACAUUCUUCACACUGUUAACACUGUGCUCCCAGGAGAAAUCCUCUUAACCAGCUUCUACUAGUGGUCUCAUUCCUGUGGUUCCCUCUUUCUGUGGCCAUAACUGGUAGAUAUUCACCAACCUGGGUUCCUCUCUUCUUCAAUAGUAGCUGCUUGUAUGGCUGCCCAACUACAGUUGUGAUCACAGCACUAGCUUUCUCCAUUGAGAUUUUUGUAUAGAAUUGAUGUGCAACACUUAUAAGCGUGGUCCAUAAUAUAUCUUAGAGAUGCCCCUCCGUGUUCUUCCCACUCCCUGUGGUCAGAGUAGCAGCUACAGGGACACGAUGGAGGCUGCACGUUCAAGGUGGCAGAGCUAAUGUCCAGCUUGGGUCUCAGAAAAACUGAGGGGAGCAGAGCCCAUGAAACACCCUCAUUGGACUUUUAGGUCAGAAAGAAAAACAUCAUUGUGUUUGAGCCCUUGCAAUUUGGGUCUUUUUCUUACAGCCAUUUAUCCACCCUAACUAAUACAUUUAUACACCUGUCUCCCCCGAGUCAGACACCUCUGCCAUGAAAGUCUGUAACUCACCUCAAACCUGGUUUCCUGGAUUGAUCUUCUGUUCCCACCAUCAUCUUCCUAGUCCCCACAAGUUAAGCUAAGGAGCUCAGGACUCUUAAGUGGCUUUUCCUUCUUCUGGUCACCAUCACUUUCUCCCAUCAGAUACUCUGCAUUUGGAAGAAAUUCCUUCAUUUUUGUUCACAGCAUCCUAUAUGUAGAUAUUCUCCAUUAGCACAUGACUCAAAGCUAAAUCAAUGGCUUUGAAAUACAUAUUUUAUUACAUCUCGAAUGUAACGUGUUCAUUUUUGAAAUUUUAAAAAAUACAAGUAAGCAAAAAUGAGAAAGCCAUAUCACCCCUAAAAUCACUACCCAGAUAUAAUCAUUGUCCGUGCUUGCUUAGUCUAUAACUCACUGGUUAUAUAUAAAAUGGUGAGGUUGAAAACGAAAGCUUAUGUUUAUUUAAAACCACAGGUCUUCUCAUUGACACCUGAAUGAAGUAUACCAGGGAGUGCCAAGAAAUUAACUGAUAUUGAAGAAGGGUAAAUAUCAGCUCUGAGAUGAGUUCCAAAAAUCUAUAGCCUACAAGGUAAUUUCCUUUCAGUUUUCUCCAGGCCUGACCACCCAUGAACCCUUGCAUCCUCUGAGGCUGGCCUGCAUUAGACCAAAGGGAUACACUUUGGUUUCUGUUGUGGGACCCCAUUCUCUGAAACCACUAGAAGAUGAGCAGUUGGAGGGCAAUGCGUACAUUUUCUCAUUUUACAGCCCAGUGCCUGGCACACAGUGAGAUCUCAGAAAAGAUCCUUUGGAUGUGUGAACAUAAAUUUAAAUUAGCUUGGCCACGGACAAUUUGUAAAUCCCAUCCCCAAGCAUUUCUGGCAGAAAUGCAAUAUGCUGAGUUGCCUGCGAUUUGAGAAUGCUUUUUAG